rnacentral:rRNA from 1 species
UGGGGAAUAUUGGACAAUGGGCGAAAGCCUGAUCCAGCCAUGCCGCGUGUGUGAAGAAGGCCUUAUGGUUGUAAAGCACUUUAAGCGAGGAGGAGGGUACUGGUAUUAAUACUACCAGCUACUGGACGUUACUCGCAGAAUGAGCACCGGCUAACUCUGUGCCAGCAGCCGCGGUAAUACAGAGGGUGCGAGCGUUAAUCGGAUUUACUGGGCGUAAAGCGUGCGUAGGCGGCUAAUUGAGUCGGAUGUGAAAUCCCCGAGCUUAACUUGGGAAUUGCAUUCGAUACUGGUUAGCUAGAGUGUGGGAGAGGAUGGUAGAAUUCCAGGUGUAGCGGUGAAAUGCGUAGAGAUCUGGAGGAAUACCGAUGGCGAAGGCAGCCAUCUGGCCUAACACUGACGCUGAGGUACGAAAGCAUGGGGAGCAAACAGG